rnacentral:rRNA from 1 species
ACGUAGGGUGCAAGCGUUAUCCGGAUUUACUGGGCGUAAAGGGUUGCGUAGGCGCCCCAUUGCAUCUUGUUUGAAAUCCCUCCGCUCAACGGAGGAAACAGGCAAGAGAUGGGUGGGGUUGAGUCUUGGAGGGGUAGCCGGAACUUGCAGUGGAGCGGUGAAAUGCGUUGAUAUUGCAAGGAACACCAAUGGCGUAGGCAGGCUACUGGUCAAGUACUGACGCUGAUGCACGAAAGCUAGGGGAGCGAAAGGG